rfam:Capsicum annuum cultivar Zunla-1 chromosome 6, whole genome shotgun sequence
UGACCCCAUGUUAGGUAGGAUUAAAUGCUGAGUUUGAGUAGAGGAAAAGAAAAACUCAACCAUUCUCUCAGUAAGGCCGAGCGAAACAAGAAUUACCCAGCUUUAGAAUCGGCUGGAUCCAUCAUCUGAAUUAUAGUUAAAAGAAGCGUACUCAUUAGUGAACCGGGCCUAAGUCCCCUUGAGGAGGGUGCCAGAGAGGGUGAGAUCCCCAUUGUGCCAAGACUUUGUUGCACCAUAAGGCAGUGUCUAUGAGUCGGGUUGUUUGGGAAUGGAGCCCAAAUCGGGCGGUGAAUUCCAUCCAAGGCUAAAUACUGGCGAGAUACUGAUAGAGAACAAGUACUAUGAGGGAAUGAUGAAACGGACUUCAAAAAGAGAAUCAAAGAGUUCUUGAAAUUGUUGGGAUGGAAGUGGAUAGGUGUGGUUGAUGUGCUCCAAUUGGAUGUGGAAUGGUAAUGAGCCGAUCCAUCGAUCGAAUUGGGGUAUAGACUAGUAUGGAUUAGGGGUUUAUUAAUGCGUGGGUUGUUGAUACGCUCGUGGAAAGUUUUCUCCUUGAUUGGGGCAGGCAGUGGGUGACUCUGCCGUGCUUUGACAUCUGCGCGCUCUAGACGCUAGUCAUUGUGCUUCCUAUUUGACCCAUUUUGAAACAUAGAGCAAAGAGUCUGACAUGUGUGUGAGUCAAUAGGUGAAUAACACAUAAGGCAUAAGAAAGAUGAUUGGUAUGAUCCUUAUGAGGGGUGCACGAUCGACAGACCUUGAUCUUCGUAGAAGGGUUCAAGUGUGAUCAUACCUAUUGGGACCCAAAAGAAUGUGAACUAUGCCUGAGUAGGGCAAAGCCAGAGGAAACUCUGGUAAAGGAAUGCAGCGAUACUGAAGUAUAAAUUUUUCGUCUGACUUGUGUAUAGGGAAAAAACUCUAAUAGAACCAUCUAAUAGCUAGUUCCCUCCAAUGUUUCUCGCAGGAUAGCUGGAGCACGCAUCUAAGUUCUAUCAGGUAAAGCCAAUAAUUAGAGGUAGCAGGGGAGCAACACCCUCGACCUAUUCUUAAACUUUAAAUGUGUAGGACAGUGUGACUGCUUUGUUGAGCUGCACCAUGGAAUCGGGAUUUCCAAGUGGGCCAUUUCUUUAAGCAGAACUGGCAGUGUGGGAUAAAUUGGAAGUCAGGUUAUGGUGCCAAACUGCACGCUAACCUAGACCCCACAAAGGGUGUUGGUUGAUUAAGGCAGUAGAAGGGUGGUCAUGGAUGUCGAAAUAUGCUUAGGACUGUGUAACAACUCACCUCCCAAAUCAACUAGCCCUAAAAUAGAUAGCGCUUAAGCGCACGACCUAUACCUGGUCGUCUAGGCAAGUGCCAGGCACCGAUGAGUAAUAGAGUGUGGCGGUCAUAGCAAAACAUUAAAUGUGAGCCCAGGCAGAUAGACUGUCAGUGAAGAUCUUGGUGGUAGUAGAAAAUAUUCAAAUGAGAACAUAGAAGGACAAAAAGAGGAAAGGUUCCAUGUGAAAGACACUUGCGGGUUGGGGGAACCCCGACAGAUUGUGCGUUUUGUGCAUACUUCGAAAGAGAAUUGGGUUAAAAUUUCUAAAUAGAGACAUGGCGGUCGACGUCAAUGUUAGGAAGUCUAGAGACAUUUGUGGGAGCCUUGGGAAGAUUUAUCUUUUCUAUUUAACAGCCUACCCACCUUGGAAUCAGCUCAUUCGAAGGUAGGGUCCAAUGGUUGGAAGAGCACCGCAUGUCGCGUGGUCUCCAGUGUGCUCCCAGAGGACUUUGAAAAUCUAGUGGACAAAAUUUAUCCACACCCAAUCGUACCCAUAACUACAUCAGGUCACUAAGGUGAACAACCUCUGGUCGAUGGAAUAAUGUAGGUAAGCAAAGUCGGCAAAAUAGAUCCAUAACAUUGGGAAAAAUAUUGGAUCUAACGGCUACGCACGAAGGUCCCAGUCCUGAACCUGUCGGAUAUUGGUGUACUACUCGAGCUGCUCAUUGAUAAGAUUGGGUCACCUUGUCCUAGUUGCGGGAUAGACUGGGAACAGUUUCUUCGAGGGCCUUGCCCACGUUUUAAACAGGCAAGUUAGAACUAAUGCAGACAAGGAAAAUCCGACUAUUUAAUUGAAACAAAGCAUUGCGAUGGUUCCAAUGGAUGUUCACGCAAUGUGAUUUAUGCCCAGUGCUCUGAAUUUUGAUGUGAAGAAAUACAACCAAGCGCGGGUAAAUGGCAUGAGUAACUAUGACUCUCUUAAGGUUUCCAAAUUAUUCGUUAUCUAAUUAGUGACACACAUGAAUAGAUUAACGAGAUUCACACUAUCCCUUUCUACUAUCUAGCAAAACAACAGCAAAGUGAACGGGCUUGGCAGUAUCAGCUUGGAAAGAAAAACCUGUUGAGCUUAACUCUAGUCUGACUUUGUGAAAUGACUUGAGAUGUUUAGUAUAAGAGGGAGUUGAAAGGAAAAAUUUAAAUACCACUACUUUUAAAGUUAUAAGUAUUCAUGAAUUGUAAGAGGAGCACUGCCCCUCUUUUGGGUCCCAAGGCUGGCUCUGUAGGCUGGUCCGUGUAGAAGAUAUUAUUAGGUGGGGAGUUUGGAUGGUGUGGGGAAUCUGUUAAAAGAUAUGCAAGUGUUUUUAGAUGAACUCAACAAGAACAUAAAUCUCAUAUGGAAAAGAAAGGUAAAAGCUCGUUUCAUUCUGAUUUCUAGUACAAAUAUGAACCGUGAAAGCUUAUCCUACUGAUUAUUUAGACCUUCGGAAUUUGAAGAUAGAGGUGUCAGAAAAGUUACAACAGGGAUAACUGGCUUGUGGCAGCCAAGCAUUCACAGCGACGUUGCUUUUUGAUCCUUCGAUGUCGGCUCUUCCUAACAUUAAAAAGCAAAAUUCACCAAGUGUUGGAUUGUUCACCAACCAAUAGGGAAUGUGAUAUGGGUUUAGACCAUCAUGGGAUAGGUUUGUUUUACCCUCCUUAUGAUAGUGUUGCAAUAGUAAUUCAAUCUAGUACGAGAAGGACCAUUGAUUUCUAUAAUUCAUCAUCACGCUUGGUUGAAAAGCAAAUAGCGCGAAGCUACCGUGUGCUAGAUUAUGACAGAACGCUUCUACAUCAAAAUUUAGGAUAGAAGUAACGCAAGCAACCAGCGUCCACUUGCUGACCUGUAGUAUGGGCCUCGGUCCCCAAUGGCAUGACUCAUUGCGUAAGCCAUCGUGGCAAAAAGGUUACAGUGGCCUCCUUGAAGUAUAAUUUUCAUCUAGCAGCAGGUAGAAUCCAUUGCUGACAACUUAAAUACAUGAUGGUGUAGUGUAUGUGACAGAGUGGCUUUGUUGCCAUGAUCCAGUGAGAUUCAGACAUUGGUUGCUUUGGUUCGU